rnacentral:rRNA from 1 species
CGGACGGGUGAGUAAUGUCUGGGAAACUGCCCGAUGGAGGGGGAUAACUACUGGAAACGGUAGCUAAUACCGCAUAACGUCGCAAGACCAAAGAGGGGGACCUUCGGGCCUCUUGCCAUCAGAUGAACCCAUAUGGGAUUAGCUAGUAGGUAAGGUAACGGCUUACCUAGGCGACGAUCCCUAGCUGGUCUGAGAGGAUGAUCAGCCACACUGGGACUGAGACACGGCCCAG